CACUGGAAGCAAGGGCGGGUGCAGUCCAAGUAAACAGAAGGGAGGACCCCAGGCAGGGCCACCAUGAUGGAGAAGCUGGGUUCUCUCUGGGGAUGUGGGGGGGUUUCAAAGAAGGCCUAAGGGUCUGAUCUGCUGGAAGGGUAGAAGAAAGAGAGCUGGGGAAGCCUCUGAGAGAGGCAGGUUCCAGCUGAGCCUGGACCUGCAGCCAGACAAGCUAGGGCUAGGACACAUGCACCUGCAUUUGGCUGCUGUUAUCGAGCCCACAGGAGCGUCAGACCUCAAAGACCUCAACUUCAAGAGUAAAAAGGAACCCGACUGCAGGACUGGAGCAGCUAUGUGCAGAAAAGGUCAUGCACCCAAGUCCAGCUGAUGCCUCUCAAGUGGGUGACAACUCAUGCCUCCCUCCAGGCCUCAGUUUCCUCAUCUAUAAAAUGAUAAAGUUACAUCCAAUGCUAAGGCUCCUUUUCAUACUGCUUCUCCUAAGAGUCUACGUGAUGUCUGUGCAGAACCAUUCAUUGAAUAAACUUCCUGAUCUGGGACCAGGAGGCAGAUGGUGAUCUGCCUGGGGCCCACAAAGCCUUCCAGCCACUCUUCAGUCAAGGCCUUCUGACCUCCAAGCGGCCGCCCAGCCCUCCUGAAAGGGUGAGCAAUGCCUCAAUACACACUGCUGUCCCAGGGAAAUGGCUUCAAGGGACUGGCAGCAUGACAUCACACAGCUACAAUUACGGAAGGACAGAACACAGCAGAUGCCCCACAGCCUGUGUCAGGAGGGCAGGACUGGGGAGCAGGCCAGGAGAAACCUGCACCCACCCAGGACCAGCCCCAGCUUCCGUCUCUCACCAUUUCACUGUUUCUGUGUUUCACUGGCAAGAGAAAUUGAAGGAACAAAUUCACUAGACUCUUGGACGCCCUGCAUCACUCUGUAAGGCUGAGAAUCGCUGGAGUUUUCUGGUGAUCACAUAGCCAUCCAUGGGACACUGGAACCAGUUUUGGUGGCUACUGCCUUGCCAGGGGCCUUCUAACUUAUUCUAGCAGCAGAACCCUUUCCUUCAAUAAGUCAGGCUGGUGCUUGGGGCAGGACUCAGGGCUUCAGCUUCCCUGUGUCCCACCACCCACCCUACCCCACCCCCGGCCAUGCUGCUCUCUAAGCACUCUGGAGCCCUGGGCCCUGCAGAUCACAGACAUCAGCACCUUGUGUCACAUAGGAGCAAAGGCCCAAGAAGGCUAUGAGGUGCAGCCUCCAGUGCCUGAGCUUGGGAAGAUGGCUGGGGCCCCAGGACUCGAGCCUGCAGGGCACAGGCACCUUCCCGGAGUUGGGCCUGGAACUGAGUCCUGCCCCCGCUCCCUGGCUUUAAUACUGUGAUGGACAACUUGCACCAGCCAGCCCACCAGGCAGGCACACACCUGUUCAGGUGCACAGGUGACCUCUCUGCAGUGGUGCCAGGGCUGUUGUACUUUGUGAAGCCACUCAUAAGGCAAAAGUAAACAGAGGUAUUUGCUCGGGGCCAGCCACCUGCUCUCCCUGGGGGCCCAGGCGGUGCCCGGUCUCCCUUGAGGUUCUGUUGGUGUCACCUACCUUACAACCACAUUUUCUAGGGACAUCAGCUCCAGCUGAAGGAACAAUGGCACACGGCUGCCUCCUCUUAUCCCACCCCUCCUUGCCCAGAGUUUCAGAGGGGAUAGUGCAGGGCGCACCGGCUUCAGAGCCUCCAGCCUCAGGGACAAAGGGAGGUCCCUGGGACUCCCACAACCACACCACUGUGAAGCCUGAGCUUGAAGGAAGCCCAGGCCUCAUCUGGCCCCUGAGCCCAGGAAGGACGGUUAGUAGGAGGAACAGGCAGGGGGGAGGGCAGGAGGGCCCAGUCUCCAGGCCCCCAAGUGUCCUGGAGUGCUGGCCCAAAGAGGGCCUCGUCUUCUUAUGUCUUCUGCGGUGAGGUGGUGCCCUGCCUCAGAGGUCACAGCCUCCCUUAAACCUGCAAACACCAGGCCUGGACGGCCACUCUGGGGUGGGGAAGGGAAGGUCAGGUGGGCUCUGGGAGGCCGGGCAUUCCCACCCCUUCAAGCCUCCCAGGAGUACCCUCCCCAGGCCACCAGAGAGCCACCGUGGGCGUGGCCUCUCUGAGUGGUACUGACCCCCCAGCCUUCUAGGGGCUGAAGCACCCCCACCAACAGAGCAUGGAAGAAAGCCCUCAGAGACCUAUGGGAGGCUGAGGAGAGGGAGCAGGCAAGAGGACGGAGUGGAGCAGGGGAUGCACGAUCCCUUGCUGUCAUCACCACACUGCAGCCCACAGCUGGCAGGGUCCUUCCCUGCCUGGAAGCCCAGGGCCCUCUCCCACCCUGCCCCUCACCCUGCCUCCUUCUGAGCACCUCUGAUUUCACAUACAUGCUUUUGAAUAAGUGA